rnacentral:rRNA from 1 species
UACGUAGGUGGCAAGCGUUGUCCGGAUUUAUUGGGUUUAAAGGGUGCGUAGGCGGCCCUGUAAGUCAGUGCUGAAAUAUCCCAGCUUAACUGGGAGGGUGGCAUUGAUACUGCAGGACUUGAGUGAAGUCGAGGUAGGCGGAAUUGACGGUGUAGCGGUGAAAUGCUUAGAUAUCGUCAAGAACACCGAUAGUGAAGACAGCUUACUAGACUUCAACUGACGCUGAGGCACGAAAGUGUGGGGAUCAAACAGG